GGCGGGGUAGCUCAGCGGUAGAGCAAGGGACUCAUAAGCCCUGGGUCGUGGGUUCGAUUCCCACCCCCGCUA
rnacentral:tRNA from 1 species